GGAUCUGCAGACAGCACUUCACGGAGGCAGACUUCGCGAAGAAGGGCACUUUCUAUGUGGCAACCCGGGAGUUUUGGAAUGGAAAGGAGUCAUAGGCCUACGUUGAAGCCCUCUGCCUGCGCCUCCAUUUGAAAAGUCGAGGGUUAUGGUGUUGGGGUUACCGACCGACCAUCAUCAACAUCGGUGACUUUGGAGUCAAGCAAAAGUGACUGAAUGAAGGAGGCGACGCGAGUCAAUGAGGAUGACAUCUUCAUCCCUGAAAAUGUUUUCAUCCUGGAGGAGACUGUUCAGGAGGCAGAGGAGGAAAGAACGGUUAGUACAGCAGGCCAAACUGACCCCUGGGUGCCAGAGUGUUUACCGGGACCAGCACUAAAGAGCUGGAUGUGCUACCUUGUCCCGGUCCUGCUGUUUCGACUCUCUCUCUCUCUCAACCUCAGCUAUGAAAAGCCAACUGACAUUUACUCCUGAGGUGUUGAACUGUUGCACCCUCUAUAACCACUAUGGUUAUUAUUUUGAUGUAAAAAACGGCUUUUGUAAAAUACGAUUGAUUGAUUGAUUCUUUUCUCUGCUGGAUGCUGUGUAUUCACUGUCUGAGUGAUGUGACAUUUUUAUAGUAUCUGUAACAUAUUUUGGUGUGUAUUUAAUCUCCACCUUAACUUGUAGUUGAGGGAAAUCCACAUAUUUUCCUUUCAUUUGCUAAAACUCAGCAAUCUCCGACUUCAGGUCCCACACCCCUUUAAGCACCUUCCCCAAGCUCAGCCAUCUCACAUUUGUGUGGUAGGGGAGAUCUGCAUGACCCGACUCAGUCUCUUCCAACAGUGAGACAAACUGCCUGUGGUUUAAAGAUUUUGCUCUGAUAAAGUGUACCACUUUAGUGACUGUAUCCACAACAUGGCUCAUUUUCAGAACACAUUUACAGAGCACCUCUUGAUAAAUAAUGCAAUGCAGGAAAACAAUUUCUGAUCUGGGUUCAGCUCAGCUACUUGAUCUUGUAUCCUUUUCAAAAGGCCAACGUUUUUUCCUGUCAAGUUUGGGCACCCAUCGGUGGUCACACUGGAUAACUUUUCAAAACUCAGUCCCAGCUUUGCCAGACACAUUAACCUCCUCCUACAAAUCCUUCCUUGUGGUUGUGCUCUUCAUUGACUACACUGAAGCAAGCUCCUCUGUAAUUUCAAAGUCUGGGGUUAUGCCUUGUAAGAAUAUCAACAAAUGCGCCAAGUCACAUGCAUCACUGCUCUCAUCCAGGGCCAAGGAGAAAUAGGUGGAAUCCUUUACCUCGUCUUUCAGCUAUUGUUUCAUAUUCUCUGUGGUGUCCUCAACACGUCAUGUCACUGUUCAUCUUGACAGGGAAACAUUUUCAAAAAGCUUUUUCUUGUUGGGGGAAAGUAUUUCUGCAGAGUCAAUUAAACAUUAUUUAAUGAAUUCGCCCUCAGUGAAUGGCUUGCUAUGAUUAGCAAUUUUGUGGAACAGUACGUAGCUAGCUCUCGCAAUCCCGUCGUUUGCUGAAUGCAGUUUUGUGAAAAGUCCUUGCUGCUUUGGCAACUGAGAAAGCAACUCUUUCGAUGCACUUGCCCUCUGCUCAGAAGACAUAUCCAAUAUUUCUCUGCAUGCUUCGUCUGGAAGUGUCGGGACAAGUUGUAGUCUUUCAAGACAGCGAUACUCUCUUUGCACACUAAGCACACAGCUUUCCCUGAUACCUCAAUAAAGAAAUAUU